rnacentral:piRNA from 1 species
UCCUUGGUGUGAGAGGAAAAGUCUCUAGA